rnacentral:rRNA from 1 species
GACGAACGCUGGCGGCGUGCUUAACACAUGCAAGUCGAACGGAAAGGCCCUGCUUUUGUUGGGUGCUCGAGUGGCGAACGGGUGUGUAACACGUGAGUAACCUGCCCUUGACUUUGUGAUAACUUCAGGAAACUGGGGCUAAUACCGGAUAGGAGCUCCUGCUGCAUGGUGGGGGUUGGAAAGUUUCGGCGGUGGGGGAUGGACUCUCGGCUUAUCAGCUUGUUGGUGGGGUAGUGGCUUACCAAGGCUUUGACGGGUAGCCGGCCUGAGAGGGUGACCGGCCACAUUGGGACUGAGAUACGGACCAGACUCCUACGGGAGGCAGUAGUGGGGAAUAUUGCACAAUGGGCGGAAGCCUGAUGCAGCAACGCCGCGUGCGGGAUGACGGCCUUCGGGUUGUAAACCGCUUUCGCCUGUGACGAAGCGGGAGUGACGGUAAUGGGUAAAGAAGCACCGGCUAACUACGUG